UCAAUAUCUAGGGGAUUUUUAGAUUUUUUCAUACUACUUUGGGCUUAUUUAUGGUGUUGAUGCUAAUAAGCAUAUUCAGAGGGUCCGUAAUGGUUUUGUUGAUAUUUUUUUAUGAGUAUAGGAGUGAUUCUUCUGAUUCUAUGAGUUCCAUUGCACUUGUUUAUGAAAAUAGUAGCUCAAGUGGUAGUCAAUUGCUUGUCGGUUCUUGAAAACAAGAAAGUUUGGCUGCUUUUCAUACGUGGUAUGCCCAGGAACGUGCUUCUAACAUUCACGCCUAUCAAAAAUCAGAGGUGGAGCAAUACUUGGAGGAGUUGGUGUUUCCAAGUAAUGAGAUUUUCAAUAUUCUACAUUGGUGGAAAGUCAAUAAAGCAAAAUUUCCUACUUUGUCAAGGAUGACUUGUGAUGUUUUAAGUGUUCCAGCUACUAUGGUUACAUCAGAGGUGGCAUUUAGUGUAGACGGUAGGGUGAUUGAUGAGACAUGGGCUUUAUUACUUCCAAAUAUUGUGGAGGCCCUGAUCACUUGCAAUGAUUGGAUUGAAUCAACCAAAAAUAGAAAUGUAGAAGAAUGCUCACGUGGGUAGAUGGAUUGAAAUAAACUAAUCCAUUUAAAGUUAUUUGGUGGGGGAACUAAUUGGUUCUUUGUUCUAAAAUUUUUAGUGUGUUGUGUUCCGGUGUUCAUUUAAGUAUAUUGUAACUCGCACUAAUCUCUGUCCACAUGACUAUGGUUUUCUAUUGUUAAGAAAGCUGUACUAAUCAAUAUGGGCUGACCAAAUGCUAUUUAAUUUUUCAAAAAGAGAGAUGUAUAUCGUGAAAUGCUCGUGAAAAUUCGUUGAAACUUCACAAAUUUGUAGUC